rnacentral:rRNA from 1 species
GAUGAACGCUGGCGGCGUGCCUAAUACAUGCAAGUCGAGCGAACAGACGAGGAGCUUGCUCCUCUGACGUUAGCGGCGGACGGGUGAGUAACACGUGGAUAACCUACCUAUAAGACUGGGAUAACUUCGGGAAACCGGAGCUAAUACCGGAUAAUAUAUUGAACCGCAUGGUUCAAUAGUGAAAGACGGUUUUGCUGUCACUUAUAGAUGGAUCCGCGCCGCAUUAGCUAGUUGGUAAGGUAACGGCUUACCAAGGCAACGAUGCGUAGCCGACCUGAGAGGGUGAUCCGCCACACUGGAACUGAGACACGGUCCAGACUCCUACGGGAGGCAACAGUAGGGAAUCUUCCGCAAUGGGCGAAAGCCUGACGGAGCAACGCCGCGUGAGUGAUGAAGGUCUUCGGAUCGUAAAACUCUGUUAUUAGGGAAGAACAAAUGUGUAAGUAACUAUGCACGUCUUGACGGUACCUAAUCAGAAAGCCACGGCUAACUACGUG